AUAACACACUUUUAUUUGACAGACGGUUUCUUUCAGGAGACGAUUUUUCCCCAAUCUCAAAACCUUUUCGUUGAUCCCAACAACAAGAUCCAUAGAUACUAUUUUGAUCGUUAGAUCGACCUAAUCUCGUCACGCAACAGUAACUGGAACAAUGUCUUUUGCUAGGCCUCACCAUACCGAAAGUAGUCAAUGUCCUGGUGAUUUCAGAUCUUCCUUUGGAAGAAAUGACCUUCACAUGUAUGGCACAACCUUUACCGCCAACAGGCGUUACGUUAAUAACAACCAUAGAAGAAACUAUAACAAUACCCAUGACUUCUCAAAUGAAUCUAGGCAGCGGUAUAACAUGUACAAUUACAUUGAUCCUGAAGUUUUACCUUCUCAUAAAAGGAGGAAAUUUUCUGCCACUAAUUGGGAAAGUCAUGGCACAUCUUAUAAUCACUCCUCGACAUAUGAAGUUUCUUCUUCAAGCACUAAGAUGACUUCGACUAGCUAUAAACGCGACCGUACAAGAUUUGAAGAAAAAGAUUCUGAAUUUAUGUCACGUGAUGAAAUUGAGAGGUUUUCUCCUUCCAGAAAAGAUGGUAUUGAUGCUUUGCAGGAAACACAUUUACGGUAUUCUUACUGUGCGUUUCUUCAGAACCUUGGACUUCGCCUUGAGCUGCCACAAACUACUAUUGGAACUGCUAUGGUUCUAUGCCACCGGUUUUUUGUCCGGCGGUCACAUGCUUCACAUGAUAGAUUUUUGAUUGCUACUGCUACACUUUUUCUUGCUGCAAAGUCUGAAGAAACACCUUGCCCUCUGAACAACGUCUUGAGAGCAUCUUCUGAAAUCUUUCACAAGCAGGAUUUCAAUGUACUCUGCUAUUUACUCCCUGUGGAUUGGUAUGAUCAAUACCGAGAGAGGGUGCUUGAAGCUGAGCAAAUGGUUUUAACAACUCUAAAUUUUGAGCUUAACGUGCAGCAUCCAUAUGCUCAUCUUACAUCGAUUCUUGACAAAUUAGGGCUUGCACAGUCACUUUUGGUCAACCUUGCAUUGAGCUUGGUUAGUGAAGGGGUCAAUAGAAGAGUAGCAUGCAUGCACGCCUGUAUGAUUUUCUUAGCUGGUGGAUAGAUAUGCAGUUUUAUUUCUCACUGAAGUUGAACAACCGAUGUGUUUGGAUGCAGUUUCUUUGAAAUUCUUUCUUAACAUGAUUUCUAACCUAGGGGGUAUUCAUGGUUCGUUUAACCACGUAUAUAGUUCUGCUUAGGGGUGAGCAGAAAACCGAAAAAAAGCGAACUGUAGCCCGAAAAAAACUGAUUUAACCAAACCGCACAAAAAACCGAACCGAAAUUUACAGUUCGGAUACGCUUUUGCAUUUUAUGAAAACCGAACCGAAUUACCUAAAAAAUCAUUUUUUAAUGUUAUAUAUUAGUUUAGGAAUUAUUAGUUUUACUCUUGAAUGUUAAGACGUUAAGUAUUCAUAAUAAAAACAUUAACAUGUUUAUUUAUCUUUGAAAUUUUUAAUCUAAUACCUACACGAAAUAACAAAGUUUUAACAUAAAUAUCAAAUGAUUCUCAAAGUAUUAUAAAUAAAUGUCUUAAUAAACACUUUGGAGAAUAUUUAUGUAAGCAUCUAAGAAAGAUUCUUAAACCUUGGAUUAUAAUUUUAAUUUUUGAAUCUUACAUAAUUUUGUUCCAAAAAACGAACCGAACCGUUGCUAAGACCUAAAAUCCGAAACCGAAGGCUUUUUGAAAAACCAAAAACCGAACGUUUCGGUUACGGUUUCGGUUUUACCAUAAAACCGAACCGUGUACUUCUGCUAAAAGGCUGAACCUAAACCUAACCUCAUUUUGGUUAAUCUAAGAUUACUGUUAACCUGCAGUUUGGCUGGAGGUUAAUUUCUAUGAUGAAACCAAAAAGAAAUUUACAUAUCUAUAGGUUUGAAAAAACUAUCAUAACCUGAUCAACUCCCUUAUCCAAAAGAAUUGUUAUCGUGUCUGAAUAUAGACUAAUAAAAGAGUAAAGAAAUUUAGUAGGAGCUUUGGGAUUUGCAAGAUGAUGAGAAACGAGUUUGAUGAUGAAGUGCAUGUGUGUUUUUAGUUUCUUUAAUAAACUACUAACUGAUUUGCAAUUUUGCAUGGUGUACCCUUUUCAAUAAGGGCGAUUUGCAAUAUGCAUACCACGUAUUAGAAUUUAUAGGACAGCAUUUAAGGUAGAAGUCUGAUGUUUUGUAAUUUGUACACAUGAUCUUGAAGCUAUGUUCAUGUCAUAUUUCAUCUUAGAGUGAAAUUUAUCGUAAGUUGUAAGUUCUCAUUCGCAAUCCGGUUGGACAGAGCUGUUUUAAUGGUGGAUUGUGACUGCUGUUUUGGUGUGACAGUGAGCUGGGUAUCGGUUUUUCUAAUUGUAGUGGACUAGUGGUGGAUUAUUUAUAAGUUUUACUAUAUGCAUGUCUAUUGUUAUAGUGCAGUUCUCGUAAUUAUAUCUAUACUAGGUGAAGAAUCUUGUAUAGGGUUAAAAUGGGCAGGUGUUGGUGGUUGAUAAAUAGUCAAAACUUGGUCGGGUUCAUACUUUCAGUUUAACCAUGUUCAAACUCAAUGGAUUGGGUUGGGUUGACCCGUGCUGUUUAUAGUUUAAAACAUUGGACAUGUCACACCUCCAUUGUCUUGUUUUUUUCUUUUUCUUUUACUAUGUUUCGGUUGUGUCUUAUACUCUUGUAAGUUCCUCUGAAUUCUAACAGUGUCACUAAAUGUUAAAUAAAUUUUUGGUAAUAUUGUAUUAUGAGCUACUAUGCGGUUACUGGCACCAGGAGUAGUAUGAUACGUGCAUCUAGGUGGUGUCAAUAGUAAGUUAUCUUUUAUCGAGUAUAAGUACAACUUUAUUAGUAAAAAAACAUUGCUUACUUUAACCUAAUUCUUUUAUUGGUAUUUUCAGUUGACAUGACUAUCUGACUUCCAACUGUACAUAAUAGUUGAUGUGCUAGUUAGUAAAUCUAACCUCUUACAAUUGGUUGGAUGAUUGUGAGGCAAAUGAAAGAUGUAACAUACGGGAAGGUUUGUCUUGCGCAAAGUGUACACACACUAGAGAUAGAAAAAAGGGUGGUUUGGGCUUGGUGAGUAACAGAUUAAAAGUUUAAAACGUGUCAAGGUCAAAACAGGUAAUUUUGCAAAUGUGUCCAAAUGGUUUGGUUGGUCGGGUUUUAAACAGUUUUUGGUCAGGUUAACGCAAUAAAGAUGCUUUGAUUUUGUAAUACAACAGUUUUGGAGGUUUUAUGCAAUUUGAAUACGUCGUUGGUGACUUCUGACCAGUUCAAUUCGCUCUAUUUUAACCAGUUUAUUUGAAUUUACCUAUUUUACAUUUUAGAGGGAAAGUAUAAGCAAACGAGUCAAAGUCUCCAGUGAGCACAUUUCAUGCUUGGAGUCUGUAGCGCGUAAGUGGGUUAGUGGGCCAAAUUAGCUUAUUAGAGCUGCUGCAAGCUUUGUUCGAGAAAAAAGAAAAUAAAAUCUUAGAUUAAAACAUGCAUAUUGGCAAGCAUCCACAGAAAGAAGGCUUUCUUAGGAUGACAAUAUUAGCCAAAUUAGUUGCUUCGGCUUAUUCAAUUAAAUGCACGGAUUCAAUUCUGCCAAGAUGCAUGGAAAAAUGUUCACCAGAUGCUGCUUUCUUUUGUGGUUGCGUAGCUCGCUUUGGCUUCAGUUUAAACCACACCAGAUUGCUGCGGGAGCUGCAUAUCUUGCUGCAAGAUCAUUAAAUAUGGAUCUUACUUCAUGUCAAAAUGUUUGGCAAGAGUUCUACACACCACCGUCAGUGCUCAAGGAUGUCGUUCAGCAGUUGAUGGAGCUGUUUUAGAACAUAACUGGUCACGAUUUAUUUUUAAACAAUUGGGGUGUCAUAUGCAUGCAUGGUUUCGUUGUUUAUUUACAGACUUGUAAGUUUUUAGUUUUGUAGUAUGUGUUAUGGAUCAACAAAGGGAAGGGAAGAGAGAUCUCUGACCAAGGUAUAUUAUCAAAAUUACAGUAUCCGUUUACUUUGGCUA